GGACUUCCUCAUACCUCCCUCUUUUGUAUUCCAAUCUACAUUAUUUGUCCAGCAGUUUCUUUUCCACUUUUUUAAACCCAAUCUUUAAUUUAGUAAAAUAUUAAAAUAUAUAGCUUCAACUUUUUUAAACAUAAUCCUUGUUCUUAAUGUCAUAUACCUUUAAAUUUUUCCCUUUUAUUAUCAAAUUUCCAUUUCUUUAAACAUCUUUAAUCUUGAUCUUUAAUCUUAAUCUAUCCUUAGCUUUAACCUGUACAGCUGGAAACCACUUAUUUUCAAUCCAACAUCACUCUAACAUUCCUUAAUU